rnacentral:rRNA from 1 species
UACAGAGGUCUCAAGCGUUGUUCGGAUUCAUUGGGCGUAAAGGGUGCGUAGGCGGCGCGGUAAGUCGGGUGUGAAAUUUCGAGGCUUAACUUCGAAACUGCAUUCGAUACUGCCGUUCUAGAGGACUGGAGAGGAGACUGGAAUUUACGGUGUAGCGGUGAAAUGCGUAGAUAUCGUAAGGAAGACCAGUGGCGAAGGCGGGUCUCUGGACAGUUCCUGACGCUGAGGCACGAAGGCCAGGGGAGCAAACGGG